UACGGAGGGUGCGAGCGUUGUCCGGAAUCAUUGGGCGUAAAGGGCGCGUAGGUGGCCCGGUCAGUCUUUGGUGAAAGCGCGGGGCUCAACCCUGCGUCGGCCAGGGAUACUGCCGCGGCUCGAGCACUGUAGAGGCAGGCGGAAUUCCGGGUGUAGCGGUGGAAUGCGUAGAGAUCCGGAAGAACACCGGUGGCGAAGGCGGCCUACUGGGCAGUUUAGCUGACACUGAGGCGCGACAGCGUGGGGAGCAAACAGG
rnacentral:rRNA from 1 species